rnacentral:rRNA from 1 species
UUGGAGGGCAAGUCUGGUGCCAGCAGCCGCGGUAAUUCCAGCUCCAAUAGCGUAUAUUAAAGUUGUUGCAGUUAAAAAGCUCGUAGUUGAAUUUCGGGGUUAGUAGAUUGGUCAUGCCAUCGGUAUGCACUGGUCUCACUGAUUCCUCCUUCCUGAUGAGCCGUAAUGCCAUUAAUUUGGUGUUGCGGGGAAUUUGGACUGUUACUUUGAAAAAAUUAGAGUGUUUAAAGCAAGCUAACGCUUGAAUACAUUAGCAUGGAAUAAUGAAAUAGGACGUUCAAUCCUAUUUUGUUGGUUUCUAGGAUUGACGUAAUGAUUAAUAGGGAUAGUUGGGGGCAUUAGUAUUCAAUUGUCAGAGGUGAAAUUCUUGGAUUUAUUGAAGACUAACUACUGCGAAAGCAUUUGCCAAGGAUGUUUUCAUUAAUCAAGAACGAAAGUUAGGGGAUCGAAGACGAUCAGAUACCGUCGUAGUCUUAACCAUAAACUAUGCCGACUAGGGAUCGGAUGAUGUUAAUUUUUUAAUGACUCAUUCGGCGCCUUACGGGAAAC